UCAGUUGGAGUGUUUCAGAGAAAUCCAAUUUUUAAUCUCACAAGAUCUAAGGGAAAGCCCUUUUCCUCCCCUGAGAUGAUGUACAUGGUCACAUGUGCCAAGAGUUCCAGGAAGUAAAAGGAGAACU